UGAGUCCUAAGAGGUCAUUUUUUCUUAUGCUGUCUUGAAUGUGUGUUGUUUAUGCUUUGUGUUCAUGUUUUCUUUUCAAAAAGCUCUUACCAUGCCUGCACUAACUAACCAGUAAGCGAAGCGGAGCAAGGGUGGAUGAAGCAGCUUGAUGAUUAAGAAGGAGAUAAUGGACUGUCAUUGCUCAUGCAAUCUAUUGAGGUAAUAAAUGGAGGAGGAGGGGCAGGAGUAGAAAAUUACGUCUGAGAGAGACGUUAACGGCGUCAACGAGGGGCGUCAAAGUUUGGGACCCACAAUUGGGCAUCAUCAUGAAAAUAUUAAAAUUUGUGUCAGGGAGGAUAGUGAAGAGACGGGACAAAUGACCUUCCCGAUGUGAAAAAAAGGGGCAAGGUAACUUUUUUCUUGCUAUUUCUCUGGUAGGAGUUGAAUCAGAGUACGAUGGGCAGUGGGCCCCAUUUGCAGUUAUAACAGAAGAUCCUUUCGCUUU